rnacentral:rRNA from 1 species
CGGUAGGGGAGAUUGGAAUUCCUGGUGUAGCGGUGGAAUGCGCAGAUAUCAGGAGGAACACCGAUGGCGAAGGCAGAUCUCUGGGCCGUAACUGACGCUGAGGAGCGAAAGGGUGGGGAGCAAACAGGCUUAGAUACCCUGGUAGUCCACCCCGUAAACGUUGGGAACUAGUUGUGGGGUCCAUUCCACGGAUUCCGUGACGCAGCUAACGCAUUAAGUUCCCCGCCUGGGGAGUACGGCCGCAAGGCUAAAACUCAAAGGAAUUGACGGGGACCCGCACAAGCGGCGGAGCAUGCGGAUUAAUUCGAUGCAACGCGAAGAACCUUACCAAGGCUUGACAUAUACGAGAACGGGCCAGAAAUGGUCAACUCUUUGGACACUCGUAAACAGGUGGUGCAUGGUUGUCGUCAGCUCGUGUCGUGAGAUGUUGGGUUAAGUCCCGCAACGAGCGCAACCCUCGUUCUAUGUUGCCAGCACGUAAUGGUGGGAACUCAUGGGAUACUGCCGGGGUCAACUCGGAGGAAGGUGGGGAUGACGUCAAAUCAUCAUGCCCCUUAUGUCUUGGGCUUCACGCAUGCUACAAUGGCCGGUACAAAGGGCUGCAAUACCGCGAGGUGGAGCGAAUCCCAAAAAGCCGGUCCCAGUUCGGAUUGAGGUCUGCAACUCGACCUCAUGAAGUCGGAGUCGCUAGUAAUCGCAGAUCAGCAACGCUGCGGUGAAUACGUUCCCGGGUCUUGUACACACCGCCCGUCAAGUCAUGAAAGUCGGUAACACCUGAAGCCGGUGGCCCAACCCUUGUGGAGGGAGCCGUCGAAUAUAGAUACCGCGGCGGCCCC